rnacentral:rRNA from 2 species
UGCAAGUCGAGCGGACAGAAGGGAGCUUGCUCCCGGAUGUUAGCGGCGGACGGGUGAGUWACACGUGGGUAACCUGCCUGUAAGACUGGGAUAACUCCGGGAAACCGGAGCUAAUACCGGAUAGUUCCUUGAACCGCAUGGUUCAAGGAUGAAAGACGGUUUCGGCUGUCACUUACAGAUGGACCCGCGGCGCAUUAGCUAGUUGGUGAGGUAACGGCUCACCAAGGCGACGAUGCGUAGCCGACCUGAGAGGGUGAUCGGCCACACUGGGACUGAGACACGGCCCAGACUCCUACGGGAGGCAGCAGUAGGGAAUCUUCCGCAAUGGACGAAAGUCUGACGGAGCAACGCCGCGUGAGUGAUGAAGGUUUUCGGAUCGUAAAGCUCUGUUGUUAGGGAAGAAYAAGUGCAAGAGUAACUGCUUGCACCUUGACGGUACCUAACCAGAAAGCCACGGCUAACUACGUGCCAGCAGCCGCGGUAAUACGUAGGUGGCAAGCGUUGUCCGGAAUUAUUGGGCGUAAAGGGCUCGCAGGCGGUUUCUUAAGUCUGAUGUGAAAGCCCCCGGCUCAACCGGGGAGGGUCAUUGGAAACUGGGAAACUUGAGUGCAGAAGAGGAGAGUGGAAUUCCACGUGUAGCGGUGAAAUGCGUAGAGAUGUGGAGGAACACCAGUGGCGAAGGCGACUCUCUGGUCUGUAACUGACGCUGAGGAGCGAAAGCGUGGGGAGCGAACAGGAUUAGAUACCCUGGUAGUCCACGCCGUAAACGAUGAGUGCUAAGUGUUAGGGGGUUUCCGCCCCUUAGUGCUGCAGCUAACGCAUUAAGCACUCCGCCUGGGGAGUACGGUCGCAAGACUGAAACUCAAAGGAAUUGACGGGGGCCCGCACAAGCGGUGGAGCAUGUGGUUUAAUUCGAAGCAACGCGAAGAACCUUACCAGGUCUUGACAUCCUCUGACAACCCUAGAGAUAGGGCUUUCCCUUCGGGGACAGAGUGACAGGUGGUGCAUGGUUGUCGUCAGCUCGUGUCGUGAGAUGUUGGGUUAAGUCCCGCAACGAGCGCAACCCUUGAUCUUAGUUGCCAGCAUUCAGUUGGGCACUCUAAGGUGACUGCCGGUGACAAACCGGAGGAAGGUGGGGAUGACGUCAAAUCAUCAUGCCCCUUAUGACCUGGGCUACACACGUGCUACAAUGGACAGAACAAAGGGCUGCGAGACCGCAAGGUUUAGCCAAUCCCACAAAUCUGUUCUCAGUUCGGAUCGCAGUCUGCAACUCGACUGCGUGAAGCUGGAAUCGCUAGUAAUCGCGGAUCAGCAWGCCGCGGUGAAUACGUUCCCGGGCCUUGUACACACCGCCCGUCACACCACGAGAGUUUGCAACACCCGAAGUCGGUGAGGUAACCUUUAUGGAGCCAGCCCGC